GAUGAACGCUGACAGAAUGCUUAACACAUGCAAGUCAACUUGAACUUCGGUUUGGGUGGCGGACGGGUGAGUAACGCGUAAAGAACUUGCCUCACAGUUAGGGACAACAUUUGGAAACGAAUGCUAAUACCUGAUAUUGUGAUUUUAGGGCAUCCUAGAAUUAUGAAAGCUAUAUGCGCUGUGAGAGAGCUUUGCGUCCCAUUAGCUAGUUGGAGAGGUAACGGCUCACCAAGGCGAUGAUGGGUAGCCGGCCUGAGAGGGUGAACGGCCACAAGGGGACUGAGACACGGCCCUUACUCCUACGGGAGGCAGCAGUGGGGAAUAUUGGACAAUGGACCAAGAGUCUGAUCCAGCAAUUCUGUGUGCACGAUGAAGUUUUUCGGAAUGUAAAGUGCUUUCAGUUGGGAAGAAAAAAAUGACCAUACCAACAGAAGAAGUGACGGCUAAAUACGUG
rnacentral:rRNA from 1 species